AGCAAUCUGUCUGCCUCGGCCUCCCAAAGUGUUGGGAUUACAGGAUCGCUGGAAGAUGAAAAAGCAUUUUAUUUUUCCUUCCACUCUGCUUUUUCCAGAAGCCGGAAGUAAAGACAGCUGUGAUCAACUGGGUCAUGAUGGAAUGGCUUUCUGCCAUGAAUAUUCAGGGAGACUUCGCCUGUGCCAUGGAGGUUUAUGAUGGAUGGGGGGAGCAGGAAGAGCCUGGGAUCUUUAGGACCUCGAAGGGAAUGGAUUGAUAGUCGGGUAAGUGAAUUAUUUUCCAGUGUCAUAAUAGUGAGGUUUCUUUAUAUUGCUUUGUGACAUUUUCAUUGCUCCUUGGAUUCUUGAUUCUGGAGGAGGAACAAAAGGGUUUUGUUUUGUUUUGUUUGUGCCAGAUCUCCUUGAGUUAGACAUGGCCCAUUGGCAGAAUGGAGGCUGCACUUGAACUGGGUUCUGAAAUUGGAUGGGAGCCACUCUACGUGGGUUUUAAAAUCAGGUUUCUGGGUCUGUUGGUUCUUCCUCCAUCUGGGUUGUCCCCCAUUCAGAGCUUGGCAAGGGUAAGAUUUUGUUCUAUAUCCCUAAGCUUCUGUGACAACAAUAUCCUAGGAUAUCUCCACCCUCCUUCGUACCUUCAAACAGUUACUACAACUGUUUGAAUCUCUCUUAUAGUAAGAAAAUAAUCCCACUGAAAUUUUGAUCAAUCUGGCCAGCCAAAUCAGAGACUUACUUUUCUAUGUUUUGGGAUUCCAUCCAUUAGCACAUUGUUAUCUGUUCAUCACUGUAAUAAGGGCAGUCAGCCCAGAGAUUCUCUGCUGCUCUCAGCACCCUUGGAUUAAUGUAAGUCCACAUCUUCCCUGCUAGGAGGAGGGCAAUUGAAGAAGGAAGUAUUUUAAUUUUAUAUUAAUUUUUAAUUUCAGAGAGUAGUAAUAAUCCCAUUGCCUUUAUUAGAAUUUUUAAGGGAUACAUUACCCACUUUCUUUUUUCACUUUAAACAGUAAGUAAUGUCAGAAUAAUAUAAGGAAAAAUAUAAAGAUUAGCAAUAAAAGUGUGUUUGGCUAUUGCAGAAUUCUUUUUCUAAAAAUUCAGGGCACUUUUUAUAACAUAAUUUCGUAUAAUGUCACAUUUUAAAUAAAAUCCUAUGUCAGUCCCCUCCCCUGCCCCUGCAAUGCGUGCGCACACACACACACUCACACACACACUCACACACACACACACUCACACACACACAAUCAUCUACCAAAGGGGAAAUCCACUUUGUCCUUAGAAAUGGUGGUGGUUUGGUUAACUAAAAAUUGAGUCUCAUCCAGUGUCAGAGCACCAAUGUUGUGGAAAAUCAACUCCAGAACAGCAUGGAGAUAUUUCCCAAGUUCCCUAAGUCUUUUGUUUGUUUGUAAUGGAAAUCUAUCAUAGUGACAAAAGCAAUCUCCAAACUGUGAAUUGAUUUUGUUCCAGAAAUUCACGUGAAAGCUAGUUGUCAGCGCUCAGAACUCAUUUUUCCAUAUAAGCAAUGUUAUAGGGUUAGUUCUGUUCCCAGGCUGGCUCCUAAAAGCUUACUUAACACAUGCGCAGUUGAACAAUGCUGCUCUAAACUCACAGAUUAUUGGUACUUGAGGGGUUGUCAGAGAUCUUCAAAUUUAGUAACACUAUUAAACUGUACAAAGGAUCAGAGAGGUUAAGGCUGUUGCUUAGGGUUAUCCAGCAAAGGCAAGACCAGAUCCACAUCUCCCGACUUUCAAGUCAGUGACCUUUCCACUAUACUGUAAUUUGUAGAACUGGGCCACUGUUUACCACCUUAUAUUGGUAAAAAGGUUGCUUGUGAGUAGGUAUAUAUCACUUUAGCACUUAGAAAUAUUUAGAAACUUUCCCAUAUAUUAGGCUCACAGAGUCUUCACUAUAAUCCUAUGAAGACAGUAGAGGAGAUCCUGUUCCCAUUUUUAAAGGUAAAGACACUGAAGCUUCAGGAGGUUAAAUCAAUUGCCCACAGCCACACAAUUAGUAAGUAGGGCUCCAACCCAGCUCUUCUGAGCCUGAGGACAGUGUCCACUCCGCUCCUGACCUGCAGCAGCAGUGCAGCCCUCAGGGCUUCACACAGGGUGUCCAUGCAGGGAACAGCGCUGGCUGGGCAGGUGAGAGGCUGGGUCAGUCAUGGAGAUGGGUGGAAUCUGCCAAGGGGGCUGCAGUGUUGAUGGGGCUGAAGGUACAAGGAAAGGGCCUGGGAGUGAAGAUCCAGGGCUCUGGUGGUUGUACCGCUUAGGGUAGUUUUCAACAUCACAAUGGGAGGUUGGGAGUUAGUGGUUCUCCCACUUGUUAACUAACUUAACAAGUUAAGUGAGUGGUAGGAGCUUGAAAUAAUGGCAAAGUGGGUGAGAUGUGCAUAUUGCUUAUAUGGUCACAUAUGUGUAUAUAUGUUGUACAUAUGUUUAUGUCACUUUUCCUUAGAAACUUCCUAUACAGGGCCAGGCGCUGUGGCUCACGCCUGUAAUCCCAGCACUUUGGGAGGCAGAGGCGGGCGGAUCACGAGGUCAGGAGAUCGAGACCAUCCUGGCUAACACGGUGAAACCCUGUCUCUACUAAAAAUACCAAAAAAUUAGC